rnacentral:rRNA from 1 species
AAGCUCAAAUUUGUAAUCUGGCGUCUUCGACGUCCGAGUUGUAAUCUCGAGAAGUGUUUUCCGUGAUAGACCGCAUACAAGUCUCUUGGAACAGAGCGUCAUAGUGGUGAGAACCCAGUACACGAUGCGGAUGCCUAUUACUUUGUGAUACACUUUCGAAGAGUCGAGUUGUUUGGGAAUGCAGCUCAAAUUGGGUGGUAAAUUCCAUCUAAAGCUAAAUAUUGGCGAGAGACCGAUAGCGAACAAGUACCGUGAGGGAAAGAUGAAAAGCACUUUGGAAAGAGAGUUAACAGUACGUGAAAUUGUUGGAAGGGAAACACAUGCAGUGAUACUUGCUAUUCGGGGCAACUCGAUUGGCAGGCCCGCAUCAGUUUUUCGGGGCGGAAAAUCGUAGAGAGAAGGUAGCAGUUUCGGCUGUGUUAUAGCUCUUUACUGGAUUCGCCCUGGGGGACUGAGGAACGCAGCGUGCUUUUAGCAUGAGCUUCGGCUUAUCCACGCUUAGGAUGCGGGUUUAUGGCUGUAUAUGACCCGUCU